rnacentral:rRNA from 1 species
UACGUAGGGUGCGAGCGUUGUCCGGAAUUACUGGGCGUAAAGAGCUCGUAGGUGGUUUGUCGCGUUGUCCGUGAAGUUCCCUGGCUUAACUGGGGGCGUGCGGGCGAUACGGGCAGACUGGAGUACUGCAGGGGAGACUGGAAUUCCUGGUGUAGCGGUGAAAUGCGCAGAUAUCAGGAGGAACACCGGUGGCGAAGGCGGGUCUCUGGGCCGUUACUGACGCUGAGGAGCGAAAGCGUGGGGAGCGAACAGG